AAUUUUUUUGUGGGGAUGAUUGAAAAUGAUGAGCCUAGAAUUAUGUCCUCUCAAACUGAAGCCAUCUUGAAACACCUGAGCGUCACUCUUUCCUUUUCCUUCUGAGGCAUUUUCUCUGUGUUCAGAUGCUGUAAUGGGUUUUUCUUUUCAUGUUUAUCAAUUGCUCUUAUGGUUUGAUUACAUCCAUAAUACUUCUAAUCCAGAGGGGAAGCAGAAGUGACGACAAUGGCGAUGAUGAGCAGCAGCACAUGGAGAUUAACAAGAGGCCAAGAAAUCUUCUCUGUGUUCCCAUCAUUUGCCUUCCCUUUGCUCUCCACCUCCAGGAGGAGGAUUGAAAGAGUGGGGGCAUGCAAAACGAACAUGUCAGAGCGCAAAACAAAGAAGGCAAAUUUGAGAGCUGCGAAAAGGGAAAGGAUUCUGCUGCCAAUUUGCGAUGAUGGCUAUCGUAUUAGUGAAUUUCUUAGUCACCCCUUUGGAAUUCAAGCUAUGUUAAACACUAAGACCCUGCAAAGUUUUGAAUCCUUAGAUGCCAACACAUACAGGUGCUAUUUGCCAAAGCUUCAACUGCUAAAUUUUGAAGCAGCUCCUGUGAUGGACUUGAGAGUGACCCCAACAGAAGAAGAUUGUACUGUUGAGAUGCUCUCUUGCAAGUUUGAAGGUUCAGAGCUCAUGGAGCGCCAAAAUGACCAUUUUUCAGCUUUCAUGGUGAAUCGUGUGACAUGGAACACAACUGAUUCUGAACCCUUUUUAGAGGCCGACAUGAAGUUGAAUGUCAUCCUUGAGGUUGCUAGUAUUCCACCUUUAGAUCAUUGUUGAUGCCUCGUGUAACAGUAGAUUCUGUCAUGAAAGAUUUUCACAGCACCGUUUACUUUGCUGCCAACUUCUGCUGUUGAGGGUCCUGGAAAUUUGUGAGUUAUCCUUGCUGAGUUUUCAAUUAUUAUAUAGUUUAUGACUCAGCUGUCAGUUUUUCUUUCUUAAAGUUUACUUCUUUAUGUGUUGAUCUAUGCAUGCUUGGGGCACUACUCAGGCCUGUAACUAAGCCUCCCGUUUUACCACUGGAAACAAAUCUCUUAACCUUUUGAGUGGAGUGAGUGGAUCAAGAUUAUGUGGGCAUCCAUAUCCACAUAAUCUUGUCAUUCUGUCACCUCCAUCCCUAUAUAUGUAUUAAGCUUCAUAAUAUCUUAUAAAUCAACAAAUAUUUUCACUUUCAGUAUCCCAAAUAAUCAGCUGGUAGAUUGGAUCCAGAUGUUAGAAUUUUGGAUAAGGAAAUUAAGUCAUUCUAAAAUUAUCCCAACACUAUUGAACUUUUGUCUGUCUUAGCAUGAUCUGAAAUUUCCAUAACAGAAUUUGUAAAACACUAAGAAUGCAUGUAAAUUAUUCAAACAAUUUAGAGCUUAAUGUUAUAUUUGGCCAGAGCCAUAAGAACCCCUGAUAAACGGUGGAAGUGCAAUGAAAUACAGAAUGAUGCAGGCUUUAGUGGAUAGGCUUGUAACGUUGCUUCUGCAGCAACUACUGCAAGAAUAUAACAAGUGGGAAAAUCAACAAUGGGAAAAUGUUCCAUGAAUUUCUUCCUGAAGUUUGCAUAUCCAGGAAGGAGCGUAGAAUUUUGGAGCAAAGAAGAAGGGGUAUGGCAGUAUUACAAUCCAAGUUUAGAAAGUAUAUUCAUUCAACCAACAAUUUCUGUGGUACAAGUAGGAUCCCUUAAACCAUAGGUGAACUCCUGGUUUAAAGAGCAAAACUUUUCUGUACUUGCCUCUACCUUGUUUUCCUGUGUAAAUAUGCUGUAGUGAUUGCCUUGUUAUGUGUCGAAAUGAAAUUUAACAGUUAUCUAUAAAAUUUAGUUUAAUAGUAUUCGAAUCA